CUACGGGAGGCAGCAGUAGGGAAUCUUCCGCAAUGGACGAAAGUCUGACGGAGCAACGCCGCGUGAACGAUGAAGGCCUUCGGGUCGUAAAGUUCUGUUGUCAGGGAAGAACAAGUACCGGAGUAACUGCCGGUACCUUGACGGUACCUGACCAGAAAGCCACGGCUAACUACGUGCCAGCAGCCGCGGUAAUACGUAGGUGGCAAGCGUUGUCCGGAAUUAUUGGGCGUAAAGCGCGCGCAGGUGGUUCCUUAAGUCUGAUGUGAAAGCCCACGGCUCAACCGUGGAGGGUCAUUGGAAACUGAGGGACUUGAGUGCAGAAGAGGAAAGCGGAAUUCCACGUGUAGCGGUGAAAUGCGUAGAGAUGUGGAGGAACACCAGUGGCGAAGGCGGCUUUCUGGUCUGUAACUGACGCUGAGGCGCGAAAGCGUGGGGAGCAAACAGGAUUAGAUACCCUGGUAGUCCACGCCGUAAACGAUGAGUGCUAAGUGUUAGAGGGUUUCCGCCCUUUAGUGCUGCAGCAAACGCAUUAAGCACUCCGCCUGGGGAGUACGGCCGCAAGGCUGAAACUCAAAGGAAUUGACGG
rnacentral:rRNA from 1 species